AUAAUAAUAAUAAUAAUAAUAAUAAUAUCUUUAUUGUCAUUGCCUCCUUCGGGGACAACGAAAUUACUUGACUGCUCCAUAAAAACACUAAUUAAUCAAUACAGUAUAAUACAGCAAGGGAGAUUAGAUGACUUUCAAAGUCCGGGCUUCCCAUUCAGGGCCGAGAUCGCUCUGGAGAAGAAGCUGUUCUUAAGACGGCUCGUUCUUGUCUUCAUCGUCCUGUAUCUCCGUCCCGACGGCAAGAGCUCGAAGAGACAGUGACCAGGAUGCGAUGGAUCUUUUACUAUGUCCAGUGCCUUCCUAUGGCACCUUGUGGCAUAAAUCUGCUCUAAGGUGGAGAGUGGGCAGCCAACAAUGCUCUCUGCUGCCUUAACAACCCUGCACAACCCCAUCCUGUCCUGGGUAGUACAGCUUCCGUACCACACACAUAAGCCAUAAGUGAGCACGCUCUCAAUGGCACAGUGAUAGAAGGCAAGCAGCAGUUUCUGCGGAAGAUGGUUUUUCCUUAGUAUUCUCAAAAAGUACAGUCUCUGCUGCGCCUUCUUCACAAGCCCCCUUGUGUUGACACUCCAGGACAGAUCCUCUUGUAAUUCAAUGCCCAAAAAUCUGAACGUUGUUACCCUCUCCACACAGACCCCAUCAAUCAAAAGUGGCUGGACGUUGCUCUUCUGUCUCCUGAAGUCCACCACAAGCUCCUUUGUCUUCCUUGUAUUUAUGAGCAAGUUGUUAGCUCUGCACCACUCUGUCAGCCGCUCCACCUCAUCUCUAUAAUCCGUUUCACCCUCCCUUUCAGAGAUGAGCCCAAUCACGGUUGUGUCAUCUGCAAAUUUGACAACCCUAUUACUAGGGUGAGUAGCGACACAAUCGUACGUGUAGAGAAUAUAAAGGAGCGGACUGAGUACGCAUCCCUGUGGUGUUCCUAUGUUAGUCUUGAGCAUAUUAGAGGUAUAGGGACCCAACCGAACCCUCUGGGGGCGGUCUGACAAAAAGUCCAAUAUCCACCCACAAAGUGAUAACGGAAGCCCCAGAUCUUCCAGUUUAGACAUCAGACGUUGUGGUAGAAUGGUAUUAAAUGCCGAGCUGAAAUCUAAAAAAAGCAGUCUGGCAUAACCCCCCCGCUGCUCCAAAUGUGCAAGGACGGCAUGGAGGGCAAUCGCCACAGCAUCCUCUGUCGAUCUUUUCGUUUUAUAAGCAAAUUGGAAUGUGUCCAGUCCCUCUGGUAGGCAGGCAAUGACAUAAUUUCGUACCAGCUUUUCAAAGCACUUCAUGAUUAUAGGUGUGAGUGCUACUGGACGAAAAUCAUUCAGAUCUUCCGGGUUAGAUUUUUUUGCUAUUGGAACGAUAAUAGAGGACUUUAGGCAGGAUGGAACAAUAGCCUGGGCCAGGGAUCGAUUUAAAAUCCCAGU